GCUUCGAUGGCACACGGUGGUAGAUUGUAUCCCGAUCGAUUUUUUUUUCACUUUUGUUUCAGUUUUGUUAGGUGAUGUUGAAUAGUUUGUUUGUUGUGUUGUUGUCAAUGAAGUUGUUGGUGUUAAGGUGAGGAUGAUGAUAAGGGUGGUGUGGUUUUUAUGGUGAGAAAAUGAGUUGAAGGUGAAGAUGAUGAUAUUUAGUAAAUAAUAUGAAUGAAGUUUUUGUGUGUUAUGUUGAAGAUGGAGUUGAGUUGUGUUUGAGAGAUUGAAAGGUGAAGAUAUUUUUUCUAAGUUUUGUUGUUGU
rnacentral:lncRNA from 1 species